rnacentral:misc_RNA from 1 species
AAAACUUAUUUUAACAGAAAGAAGAGAAACUGAAGCACAACAAUCUGUAACCAAGCAGCCACGUUAUUUUAUUUGUCAAUUGCACGUAUAAACCCCACUCUGAUAACUGUGACUAACCUCAUAAAAGUCUGUUUUACCCUCAGUAGCAGUCCGUAGACAGACCCCAGAUAAUGAAGUAGUCCCUUGCAUGGAAAAUUUAACAUAACCAAAAGCCUCAAUUUCUUGAUCACCCUCUCCCUCACUAGAAUCGACAGGCAUCCUUACCCUCAACUUCCCGGGAGAACCUUUGAGUGGAAUCUCUGGGA